rnacentral:rRNA from 2 species
UACGGAGGGGGCUAGCGUUGUUCGGAAUUACUGGGCGUAAAGGGCACGUAGGCUGGCUGUUAAGUCGGUGGUGAAAUGCUGAGGCUCAACCUCAGAAUUGCCUUCGAUACUGACGGUCUUGAGUGCGGGAGAGGUGAGUGGAAUUCCCAGUGUAGAGGUGAAAUUCGUAGAUAUUGGGAAGAACACCAGUGGCGAAGGCGGCUCACUGGCCCGCAACUGACGCUGAGGUGCGAAAGCGUGGGGAGCAAACAGG